rnacentral:piRNA from 1 species
UCUGGUAGGUAGAAAAAGAAUUGCUGC